rnacentral:rRNA from 1 species
GACAGAGGGUGCAAACGUUGUUCGGAUUUACUGGGCGUAAAGCGCGUGUAGGCGGCUUUGCAAGUCGGAUGUGAAAGCCCACGGCUCAACCGUGGAAGUGCAUCCGAAACUGCAUGGCUGGAGUCUCGGAGAGGAAGGUGGAAUGCUUGGUGUAGAGGUGAAAUUCGUAGAUAUCAAGCAGAACACCUGUGGCGAAGGCGGCCUUCUGGACGAUGACUGACGCUGAGACACGAAAGCGUGGGGAGCAAACAGG